rnacentral:rRNA from 1 species
GAUGAACGCUGGCGACGUGCUUAACACAUGCAAGUCGAACGGAAAGGCCCAAGCUUGCUUGGGUACUCGAGUGGCGAACGGGUGAGUAACACGUGGGUGAUCUGCCCUGCACUUCGGGAUAAGCCUGGGAAACUGGGUCUAAUACCGGAUAGGACCACAUUUUGGAUGGUGUGGUGGAAAGUUUUUCGGUGUGGGAUGAGCUCGCGGCCUAUCAGCUUGUUGGUGGGGUAAUGGCCUACCAAGGCGUCGACGGGUAGCCGGCCUGAGAGGGUGUACGGCCACAUUGGGACUGAGAUACGGCCCAGACUCCUACGGGAGGCAGCAGUGGGGAAUAUUGCACAAUGGGCGCAAGCCUGAUGCAGCGACGCCGCGUGGGGGAUGACGGCCUUCGGGUUGUAAACUCCUUUCGCUAGGGACGAAGCGUUAUGUGACGGUACCUGGAGAAGAAGCACCGGCUAACUACGUG